AUUGAACGCUGGCGGCAUGCUUUACACAUGCAAGUCGAACGGUAACAGGCCGCAAGGUGCUGACGAGUGGCGAACGGGUGAGUAAUGCAUCGGAACGUGCCCAGUCGUGGGGGAUAACGCAGCGAAAGCUGUGCUAAUACCGCAUACGAUCUGUGGAUGAAAGCGGGGGACCUUCGGGCCUCGCGCGAUUGGAGCGGCCGAUGUCAGAUUAGGUAGUUGGUGGGGUAAAGGCUCACCAAGCCAACGAUCUGUAGCUGGUCUGAGAGGACGACCAGCCACGCUGGGACUGAGACACGGCCCAGACUCCUACGGGAGGCAGCAGUGGGGAAUUUUGGACAAUGGGCGCAAGCCUGAUCCAGCAAUGCCGCGUGCAGGAAGAAGGCCUUCGGGUUGUAAACUGCUUUUGUACGGAGCGAAAAGGCUCCCUCUAAUACAGGGGGCUCAUGACGGUACCGUAAGAAUAAGCACCGGCUAACUACGUGCCAGCAGCCGCAGUAACAC
rnacentral:rRNA from 1 species